rnacentral:rRNA from 1 species
CAGCAGCAGCCGCGGUAAUACGUAGGGCGCAAGCGUUGUCCGGAAUUAUUGGGCGUAAAGAGCUCGUAGGCGGUCUGUCGCGUCUGGUGUGAAAUCCCGAGGCUCAACCUCGGGCUUGCAUCGGGUACGGGCAGACUAGAGUGCGGUAGGGGAGACUGGAAUUCCUGGUGUAGCGGUGGAAUGCGCAGAUAUCAGGAGGAACACCGAUGGCGAAGGCAGGUCUCUGGGCCGCAACUGACGCUGAGGAGCGAAAGCAUGGGGAGCGAACAGGAUUAGAUACCCGUGUAGUCCCUGUCUCUUAUAC